AGCAAAGAGAAGGAAAUCGUACAGGCAGCACAAGUCUGAGAAAAAUAGAUCAAGUGAGGAAAAAAGUUUGCAGCAGGCAACUUAGCACAGUUAGUUUUAAAAACAGCUGUAACUAGCAUCCAGUUCUACUGAGCUAGGCAGAACCAUCUCCAGUACAGCAUCCUGUUCCUCAAUCUCUAUCCUUUGAAUGGGAACUCAGCAUUUAGCAGUCUUCUGUUUUGUCGUUUUGUAGUUUUGUUUUUUUUUUCACGAUGAUGUAUGUUUUUUUAAAGUACUCAGAAAACAUCAUUACAAUAUUUUUUCAGAGUAUUCACUGAUGGAUUACCUUUCUCAUUUUUGGAAGUUUUUGAUUAAAAGCUGCAUGUAGCAAUUUGGGCCACAUUACUAGCACAAGAAACAGGUCCGUGAAUGAGGCACUUUGACUGAAAUAGCCUUGAAGAGCUGCUGCUUCCUCAUCACUCCUUCUGUUUUUCCUGGCUGUCAGAUUUCCAGGAGUUUGACUUAACACACUUAACAGAUUUUUUUUUUUUUUAUGAUUGCAGCAUGUCAUGGUGGGUAUGGUAGAAUAUCUGUGUGAUGAGCAGCUAUAGUGAAAUAAUUCCAGUUUAAUAUUACAUUGCAGUUUCUUUAUGCCAACUCUUUACUUCAUUAUUGAUGGAAUUGAAAUUUUAUGCAUGGUAUCCUAUCUCUGUCCCUAAUAGAAAGGCAUAAUCUGACAGUGCUUUUUAGUCACGAGUCAUCUUGUUCAGUCUUUCACUGCCUUGGGAUAGUUUUAGACUUAGCCAUUUUUAUUUAUUAUUAAUCAUAUCACUGGGACAUAUGAAUUGAUUCUCUGCAUAUUUGCAUGUGCCCAUUGCUUCAUUUCCAGAUGUUGAUACAAAGGCUUAACCAUCACAGCAUGCGAAGACAGCACCAUCUCUUGGGCUUCAAAUACUGUAACCAUGUUGUGGAACUGUGUUCUUGUUUCUGUAACGUGAGUAGAAACCAUGUGCUCUGUAGUAAUGAAGAUACUGAAAAGAACGAUAGCAGCACUGGUGUCUUACUGAAAUUGAGCAAUUAAGGUAUACAGAAGCAAAACAAAAUUCUUUGGUGGAGGGUAACAUUUGAAAAAUGGUGUUAUUCUUGAUAACAAAUAGGAGAGAGCAGAAUCGGCAGCUGUAAUCAGCUCAUGGGUGGUAAGUGCCACCCACACCAUGAAAUGUUGGCUUCAGUCUGACUUUCUGCUUUUUUGUUCUUUGUCAAUUACAGAGCUAAAGGAGGAGGGAAAAACAACCUCCAAGUCAGUCUUACAUAAUACUUUGUUUUGUAAAGGUUCUACUAAUCAUGUCAAUACUGAGCCUCUAGUAGCUAGUUUUUGGUAAUUACAUUGGAAAUGCCCAGUUUGUACAUAGUAAUUCCAACUAUAAUUACCAUGAAAUUAUAUAACUACAAAUUACUCUGUCAUGUGGAUGGCCUAAAUAAGCGUGUAUAGUACCUGCUCUGUGAUAACAAAUUAGAAUUACAUGGUUGGUUAGCUAGUAGUAAUACGAGAUUUUUUGAAGUGGCCAACCAAGCUGGCGAGUUAUGUGGGAAGAACGUGUGUUUUUUUUUUUUUCUAACUCGUGGUUUAGAUUUUCAAGUAAUAGAUUAUUUCUUUCCCUGCUUGAAGGG
rnacentral:lncRNA from 1 species